GCCCUUAGUAGGAUAAAUCAAUACACGGGUUGUAAACCAGAGAUGAACACUCUUCCCAUGGC
rnacentral:tRNA from 1 species